UAAGGAAUAUUGGUCAAUGGAGGCAACUCUGAACCAGCCAUGCCGCGUGAAGGAUUAAGGCCCUCUGGGUUGUAAACUUCUUUUAUAUGGGAAGAAAUGUACUUUUUCUAAAGUGCUUGACGGUACCAUAGGAAUAAGCACCGGCUAACUACGUGCCAGCAGCCGCGGUAAUACGUAGGGACCAAGCGUUGUUCGGAUUUACUGGGCGUAAAGGGCGCGUAGGCGGCAAUUCAAGUCAGCUGUGAAAUCUCUGGGCUUAACCCGGAACGGCCAGCUGAUACUGCUUUGCUAGAGUGCGGAAGGGGCAAUCGGAAUUCUUGGUGUAGCGGUAAAAUGCGUAGAUAUCAAGAGGAACACCUGAGGUGAAGACGGGUUGCUGGGCCGACACUGACGCUGAGGCGCGAAAGCCAGGGGAGCAAACG
rnacentral:rRNA from 1 species